rnacentral:rRNA from 1 species
AUUGAACGCUGGCGGCAUGCCUUACACAUGCAAGUCGAACGGCAGCACGGGUGCUUGCACCUGGUGGCGAGUGGCGAACGGGUGAGUAAUACAUCGGAACAUGUCCUGUAGUGGGGGAUAGCCCGGCGAAAGCCGGAUUAAUACCGCAUACGAUCUACGGAUGAAAGCGGGGGACCUUCGGGCCUCGCGCUAUAGGGUUGGCCGAUGGCUGAUUAGCUAGUUGGUGGGGUAAAGGCCUACCAAGGCGACGAUCAGUAGCUGGUCUGAGAGGACGACCAGCCACACUGGGACUGAGAAACGGCCCAGACUCCUACGGGAGGCAGCAGUGGGGAAUUUUGGACAAUGGGCGAAAGCCUGAUCCAGCAAUGCCGCGUGUGUGAAGAAGGCCUUCGGGUUGUAAAGCACUUUUGUCCGGAAAGAAAUCCUUGGCCCUAAUACGGUCGGGGGAUGACGGUACCGGAAGAAUAAGCACCGGCUAACUACGUG